rnacentral:rRNA from 1 species
UACGUAGGGUGCAAGCGUUGUCCGGAAUUAUUGGGCGUAAAGAGCUCGUAGGUGGCGGGUCACGUCGGGUGUGAAAGCCCGGGGCUUAACUCCGGGUCUGCAUUCGAUACGGGUCUGCUGGGGUCCGGCAGGGGAAACUGGAAUUCCUGGUGUAGCGGUGAAAUGCGCAGAUAUCAGGAGGAACACCGGUGGCGAAGGCGGGUCUCUGGGCCGGUACCGACGCUGAGGAGCGAAAGCGUGGGGAGCGAACAGG